CUGGGCUCAGAACGGUGCAGAACUUCGCAGCGAGCGGAGUUCGGACCCUGCAGCUAACUCCUGCACCUCGCUCACGCGUUCGCCGCCGCCGCCGCCGCAGCCCCUCGCUAGCCGGCCACCCUCCAGAGCAAGAAUUGUCAGCGGUCUGCUCCCUCCCUGUCUUACGGCCAGAACCCCCUUCGCCAGCCUGACCAGGAUGUCUGGGAAGAACGCACCUGAACCUCUCCCGCCGAGUGAGUCCAAUCCUUCGCCUCUGCAACCUGCAGAUGCAGAAUUCAAUCAAGGUACAAUUGAAUUGGCCAAACGAAUUGUAGAAAUUGGAGACAAGCUGUAUUUUGAAUACCUUGUUCGAAACUUCUUGUCCACGAUUUCCGACACAACCUGAAGUUAACUGACAGAUGGCUUUAACAGAUCUCCAGUACGUUGGAUGUUGCAAAAGGUUUUGAGGGCAAAAUGUGGAUGCUAUAAGUGAAUGCUAUAAGGUUUGUCAGAAGCCAUUCUUUUCAACCAUGGAAAAUCAAGAGGAUACUUGGAACCUGGAGUAUUUGCAUUUCAGCAUUUUCAAUACGAUUCAGUGGCAAACUAAUGUCCAUGUGAAAUGUUACUUGUCACUAACAGAUACAGAUAGAAUGUUUACCUUGAACAAUGUCUCAGCUCUAAAAUAGGAUUUCUAGUUACAUUUGCAUUAUGACUGCUGAAUGUUUCAAUCUGCAUACACUACCAUGUAAUUUCCAAUUACAUGUGUGUGUGAAGAACUUGGAUCUUACCAACAUCUUUUGGGCCUUAUCUGGUUUACGUAGUGAAUUGUAUUGGGCUGGUUUCUUUUUGAUGUAAUUAGUAUAUGGAUUUGAAAGAAAAUGGUGGGGUCUUUUUGUAAUGUGCCUUCAACUUAUUUAUUUAAUUUAUGGUUAAAUUCUAAUAGCCCAUUUUUGUAUUUAAAAGGUUAUGCUAUGUGAGGACUGUGUAUGACAAGUGUUUGGCAUGUUGCAAUAAAGUUAUAUUAAAAACUGGAUGAACC
ensembl:lncRNA